rnacentral:rRNA from 1 species
GUAUGUACAUCUUACUGAACUAGUUAAAAUUAAAAAAUUACUUUAAUUUUACUAAUAAAUCCUAUUUAAUUAACUUUUUAUAUAAAUUUAAGUGGCUAAAAAUCUCCUACAUAUAACCUAAACCUAGACCUGAUUUGAAUAAUAGGCUUAUAAAAUUAAGAAAAAUUAAUUAAAAUUGAUCAAAACGGAGGUAUAUAAAAUAAAACUACAGGUGAAGGUUAACGGGGGAUAUCGUUUAUGUAACAAGCCCCUCUAAAAAGUUGUAAGACCGCCAAAAUUCUUAGGUUUAAAGAAAAUCUAUUAAUACCUUUGAUUAUAAUAAAAGGGUAUCUAAUCCUUGUCUUUUAAUAAACUUAUAAAAAAAAACUAAAAACAUAAAAUUAAAAAAAACUUCACCUUAUUUUAAAUUUAUAACUAAAUUAAAAUUUUCCUUUAAAACAAACUUUUUUUAAUAAUCGUAUA